rnacentral:misc_RNA from 1 species
CUUUCGACGUGUCAAAGCGGAAGCGCCACAAACGCCGUGGCGGCGGCGUGUAUUGUGUCCCAAAGUGACGGUUUUCUUUUUCCGGGCUUGUACCGUAAUGCACAGGAUACAACGGAAUGAUUAAAAAAUGCGCGCCGUUACGCAGCAGUCCAGCUGUUAUUCAAACCGCCCUAAUCCACCUAGAAUCGAUGUCAUACACUUGGACUGGUCGAAGGCCUUUGAUCGUUGUUCAAUAAAUCUACAGUGUCCUUAUUCUUCAGUCCUUCAUCAUGGCUGCAGCAGAUGAAUUUGAUGUUUGCAUUGUUGGAGCAGGUUUGUGGGGCAGUGCAGCUGCCAAAUAUUGCUCUGCACGCCUUGGCAAUUCAGUAUGUCUCAUUGGGCCCAGCGAGCCAACCACGAAACAGGAUUACGACAGCCGGUUUGUUUUUGGUGCACAUUAUGAUGAGGGCCGUGCAGUUGGAGCAAUCAGUAGCACGUUCGAGUGGGGAGAACUUGCAAGGCGGUCAGCUGGAAACUUCAGUAACAUUGAACAAGAAACAGGUAUACACUUCUACAGCAAUGUUGGGUCGAUGUGGUUGACUGCACAGGAAAGCUCACUCAGCCAGAAACUGCUUGAUGUUGCCAAUCAGACUGGUAUCCAUGCCACAGUCCUUGAUCAGGAAAAACUUCACCAGUCCUAUAACUUUUUGUCCACCGAAAGCAUACCAUUACAGAAAAACACAGAAAUUGUGGGUAUUAUAGAAAAAUCUGGGGCAGGGUAUCUUAGCCCUCGGAAACUGGUUCGGGCUCAACAGAUGCUUGCUCAUCGUCAAGGAUGUAAAAUAGUUGAUGACAUUGUCAACCGUCUGUCAUGCCACGAUUCUCAGCACAGUUUUGACCUGAUUACAGAAGGUGGGAAGAUCAUCCAUGCCAAGAAAGUCUUACUUUGUGCUGGUGCCUCCCUUGCUCUGGAAGAUUUUCUGCCUGGUGGAUUGCAACUUGAUUUAGCUUUAAAGACUCAGUUAGUAGUGCUAAUGGAGAUAGCACAAAAAGACAGAGACAGGCUUCUUGACAUGCCAUCCCUACACGUCCACGAGGGAGAAAAAGAUUUGGGACUAGACUGCUACAUAUUGCCACCUAUUCAAUACCCAGAUGGUCAAUGGUACUUGAAAAUUGGUCAUGGUAAAGUUGGUGAAGAGGAAGUAACAUCAAAGGAGCAAUUGAAAGCUUGGUAUUGUGGGUGUGGUGAUGCCAGCACAUCAGAUAGACUCACUCAGCGCUUACAAGAUUUAUUUCCUGAGGAAUGUAGCGUGUAACUUACUACCUUCGUGUGGACGCGUUACGACAGCAGUGGCAAUUAAAAGUCUAGGUUUGAACCCAAUCUCCCUACACACUGUUACCUGUGUGACUGCAUGCACACCAACAGGACACCUUUAUUGCGACAUGGUUGCCCCUGGA